AAAUAUGAACAUGCAAGAUUUCAAAAUGUGCAGCUUCUAAAUACCCUUCUAUGGUAAGAACCAGGUCCAUGAAAUUGAGAUCAGGAAGACUACACUUUUAAAUUUUUUUACAAAAAAAAGCGCAAACAUCCUUAGCAGAAGGGCAUCCCCAAACAGAAUAUGUAUUGUAGUUUUU